rnacentral:rRNA from 1 species
AUGCAGGGCCACGCUGACAGCGAGAGCGGCCUCGCCACCGCGCCUUCCAGCCCCACACGCUACCUCUGCUCCGGGCGAGACGGUGAGUGUGACGAAGACGGCGGAGGCAUCCAUUACUUCUUCAGCGCCCCGGCCAGCCCCGUGCACUACAUCCUCCGUUCGCCGCCAGCGUCCUCCGCGUCGGUCCACUACGCUCCCUCCACGGAUGGAGACUUCUGCACGGCCCCCGGCGACUUCGAGUUCGCCGCGCGCCACCGCGGUAUCGACGGCGCCGGCGCCACCACCACCAUGAGCUCCGCCGAGGAGCUGUUCCUAUCCGGCCGCAUCCGCGUAGGUGGCCUCUCCCCCAUCCGCCAAGAAACGGAUUGCAGGGAGCAGCAGGGGGAGGACGGUGAAGACGAGGGCGGCGUCGAAGGCCGCUCGCCGCGGCCUCGCCGGACCAGGUCGGCUUCGCCGCCCCGGAGCCCGCGGCUCGCCAAGACUGCAGAGCCUGCCGACUUCUUGGCAUCAGCGUCGUCGUCAUCCUCCUCCUCCUCUUCCUCUGCCAAGACCAUGCGGCGGAGGAUAUCGCUGCGGGACCUCCUCGGCCGCACCUGCAGCGAUCCCUCGAUGAGGCCGCCGGCCCCUAUUACCACCGCCGCCGAGAGGUCAGGAUCCUGGCUGCCAUCUAUCUGGCCGGCGCGGGCCAAGAAAGCUCUGCCCUCCCCGGCGCCGCAGCCUGCUCGCCGGUCAGUUUCGUCGGUCAGGGCAGCACCGGGCGGCGCGGGGCGCGAUGAGGCGCCGCGGCGGCGCACAACGUCUCUGCCGUACCGGCAAGGCCUGGUUCUUGGAUGCCUCGGCCUAGGAGCCCGGAGCUACGGGCUCGCAAAGUCCAUGCACCCCCUCUCCACGCGGUGA